UGAAAUUCAACUUCCAUGGUGGGGACUUCUUAUGGCUGCUACCAUGGCCUGGCUUUUCACCCUCCCUAUCAGUAUCAUUACCGCCACAACUAACAUGGUAAGUAAUAAUUACAUUGUCAUUAUAUAUUAUUGUGUUAACUGGCCAAAGGUCUACAGAAAACAUAUUCUCAAUCUUCACUAGGUCGGGUAAGGCUAAAUACACUCCACACUCCACACUCCUCAAAUCCUACUUAUAAAGACUAUAUCGAAUAUAUUAUUGUUGUUGUUGUUCUGUAUUGUCUAAACAAUGGGUGCGUCAAUAUAAACGAAAAUAUGUUGCAUGGAAAUUGUUUAAUUUCCUAGAAAAUACGUAGUUUUCUUAUUUUCUAAUAUUUGAUAAAUAUGUAGAAAAUACUCAAAGGCGGCUCUACCUAGUAAAGAAAAAGGCAAUCGCCUAAGGCCUCCAAAUUUAAGGGGCCUCAUUUUUUUUUUUAGCAAUAAUAAAUUAUAUGUUUUUAUUAAAAAAUUAUUAAAUAUUAUUUAUAGCAAAAAUAAAUUUCUUAUAUAAAAGUAAGGAAUUAUUAGAAGAAUUUUGAUGUAUUUAAAGUAUGUCUCAAUAAAGAUUAAAUGCAUUAGUUAUAUUAACGACAAAAAUUAUUAAAAGAAUCGACUAUAAUAUUUAUAACUUUGCAUCUCAAAAUUUAAAAUAUAAACUUUAUCAAAAAAAAUAUUUUUUAUAAAAAUUUAAGAUCUACAUUUGAUUUUUGCCUUAGGCGAUCAAUGUGAUUGAGCCGCCCUGAAAAUACUAUUCCAAAUAUAUGUGUAUAUAAUCUAGAGAAACAAUGUUUGAGUUGGCAUGGGAUGGUGGGGGUGGGGUAAGUUGUGUCGAAGGAUGAGGACCGCUUAUGAAAACUUGUCCUCCGGCUCUAUUUUUACUGGGAAGUCACUUUUUAUAUUUUUAAAGAACUUGCUUUCUAGAACAAUUUUUUUUUUUAAAAAUUUGACCGACCAGACACACUCUACAUAAUUUAAAUUUUGUGCAGUAAUAAUGUAUGUACAUUUUCCACUAUCAGGUUAGGUUUCCCUAUAAUUACAUGUAACCUUUAUAAAAUAGUGACCUAAAAAAUAGAAGUUAAUAUUUAACUUUUCAUUACCGAUUAAAUUGAACUGAUGGUGUGGAAGUUUAUUCAGUACUGCUAGUAAUAGAAUGUAAUUAAAUACUAACUAAAAUUAAUUUGAAUAUUUUUGACUAAACAAUUUUCUUUUUUUUGCUUUUGAUGGCAGUCACCAGGACUAAACGUGAUCACAGAAUAUAUUAUUGGUCUGAUAAUUCCAGGGAAACCAAUAGCCAAUGUUUGUUUUAAAACAUAUGGGUAUAUAAGUAUGUCACAGGCAGUUACCUUUCUUGCUGAUUUCAAGCUUGGCCAUUAUAUGAAGAUUCCUCCAAGAUCUAUGUUCAUUGUUCAGGUACUAAUUUAUAGUGCAUUGUUCUCGUAGGUGCUUGUACUUCAAUUUUUUGUUACUCGUUACGUUAUAUUCUGUGCUUUACUUGGUUAUUGUUCCUGCUCUUUGUCUUUUGAAUGCUAUGUUAUGUUACGUCCUCUUUAAUUUUGUAUUUUUCUUUUUAACUGCUUUGAUGUAUGUUACUCAAGUUAUGGAUUUUUUGGAAACAAUCUCUCUUCUUCCACGAGGUAGGAUUAAGGUCUACGUACAUGUAAACUCACAUGUAAGAUUAUACUGCGCAUGUUGUUGUUGUAGUAGUAGUAGCAUGAAAAUUUGUGUUAUAAUUCAAGCAUAAUGUAUGUAUAAUCCCUGCAUAACUUUGUCCACAAACUAAUUAUUUUCUUAUAAUCAGCAGCAACAAAGAAAAUUCCUGCAACUCUUGUUGCUGCUCACAAUAAGAAAACAUGAAUUAACAGUGAACAACUUUUGUCGUUAAACAACAAAAAUCUAUCGAUAAUCCUAUUAACGAUUGACUAUUGAGCAACAAAUUUCGUAGUUAAAUAUAACUUGAGCUGACAAUUUUUUUGUUCUUUGAAACAGCUUCUUGGAACCCUCAUUGCUGGAACAAUAAACAUGGGUGUAGCAUGGUGGCUACUUACAAACAUUACUAACGUAUGCCAAGACCAAUUACUACCAGAAAAUAGUCCAUGGACAUGUCCCGGAACUCGUGUCUUCUUCGAUGCAUCGGUGAUUUGGGGUUUAGUAGGACCUAAAAGAAUGUUUGGUUCACUUGGAAAUUAUUCUGGACAAAAUUGGUUCUUUCUUGGUGGUUUAAUUGCACCACUUAUAGUAUGGUUGCUACACAAAGCAUUCCCAAAACAAAGUUGGAUUAAAUUGAUUAACAUUCCAGUACUUCUAGGUGCAACAGCUGGUAUGCCUCCAGCAACGACAUUGAACUUCAAUAGUUGGAUCUGCUUUGGUUUAGUAUUCAAUUUAUUCGUUUUCAGAUACAAAAAGAAUUGGUGGCAAAACUAUAAUUAUGUUUUGUCAGCUGGAUUGGAUGCUGGCUUGGCAUUUAUGGGAGUGUUCAUAUAUUUUGUCCUUGGUAAAGUUAAAUUUGAGUGGUGGGGUACUGGUGGAGAACAUUGUGCUUUGGCUUCUUGUCCUACUGCUAAGGGCAUACAGUUUAAAGGAUGCCCCGUACAUUGAUUUCACUACGACGAUCGUGCUCGUGUUGGACUUGGUCAUGCUUUUUCAGACGAUCAAGCAAUAUAUAGUUGUUGUUGAUUGUAGGAGGUUAAUAAUUUGUGUUGAUUUUACUUUAAUGUUCGUGCUCGUCUUCAUUGAAGAUUUCGUUGUACAGGCUCAUGGGCGCCAACAUCAUUGAAGAUUUUGUUGUUGUUACUAUUUGUAUGUUUACAUAAUUAUUUUGUUAGAAAGAUUACCCUUAAUUAACUCUUUUAAUUUCGUUGUAGAUUCUUAAGUGACCUUAACUUGUGUAAAUACUAAGGUAAAGGGUCAACUUAAUCCCCACACAAUGUAAUUCUUUUUUUUUUUUUUUUUUUUUUUUUAAAUUUUUUGAUAUAUUUUAGUUUGAUGUAUGACUUGAUCAUUCAAUUAAUAAUAUAUUGUUUACAUCUUUUAGAUGUAUACAAUAUUGGUUCUUUUUUCUUUCUUUGUUGUUUUUGUAUAUUUUUCCUUUUCUUGUUGUACAUUUCAUGUUUAUAUUAAUUUAUGUGACAUAAUUUGCAUAUUGUGAAUAAAUAUGAAUAAUCUUUAAAGUUGCAAUGGAUUAGCUCAAUUCAGUAUAUUAUAAAUGGGCGACAAUAUAGGAUCCACACAACUGAUCCACCACUAAGGAAUCAUCUACAGGGUAGCAAUAUCAAUAGACCCAUCAAAACUCACGAAUCAUAUCAAGACUCAAUGUCGAAUAAGUAAACAUGUAGUAGAAAGUAGAACCACAGUCAAACACUACGAAGACAGAUCAAAGGUGUACUGAAUCAUACCUGUGGCUAUUGUACCAGAAGCUUUUGCCUCGUGUCCAUUCUGUGGAACCUUAUAAUGAGACAUAUCAUAUCCUAGAGCAACCGAUGAAUCAUCCCUCAGUCUAAGUUGUGGGCAAUUCCUUCUAUAGUUUUCGAGACCUCUAUAUAAGAAACAAUCCAAAGAAGUAAGAGCCCGCUUAGACAGGCAUGAAGGACCUAAACGACCACUAUGAUCUAACCCUCUCCAAGCAUAAUCAAGAGGAUCUUAGCCUCUAACAUACAUAUCGGUAUCAUCAUCAAAUCUACCGAGCCUUUGUCCCACAAGCCUCUCAUGUCUUUACACAAACUCCUCUUGAAACUUUCAAGCAAACUGAACCCAUGAAAGAGGUAGUGACCCAACUGGUCUACUCUUUACAAAAGUCAUCUACCAUUUUUUUGGCUGGUCCAAAGACUAAAAAGUAGUACAAUCUACUCUAUUAGAAUAUACCAAGCCCAAUAUGUGCAACCUCUCACAACAAUCGAGCAAGAAUAUAUAAGUAUCAAGCCUAGGAUCUCCUCUAGGGCUGUGCAAAAACCGAACCGAUAAAAAUACUAUUGGGUUAUCGGUAUCGGAUUAUUGGGUUAUUGGUUUUAUAAAAAAUUUUAUUAGUUAAUCGGUUUGGUUUCGAUUUUGAUCUAUUGGGUUAUCGGUUUAACCGGUAACCCAAUAAGAAUACUGUAAAAUUAUUAUGCUACCCCUGUUUAAUAUUUUUUUUUGGUUUAAUUUGUCAUUUUAUUAAUAAUAAAACUUAAUGGCCCAACCCAUUAUUCAAUAAAAUAAAAAUCUGUUUAGCAAUCCAUUUACUCUACCCGGCCCAACCCAAAAUAACAUAUAUGAUAAGUUGAAAGAGUAGGUUUCUAAAUCCAGAAGUUUCCAAAUCCACAUCUCAUCUCCACCGCCUCUUACUUUUCUACUCCCCUUUUUGUUGCUGUAGCUGGUCUAUCUUACAGCUUCUCCCUCUUGUUGACCUGCUUCUUUCAUCUUACUAAGGUACUGACUGAGAUCCCCUUGAUUAUUUACUCUUUGAUUCACUUUUUUGGCAAAAUGUUGAUGCUUUCCUCUCCAUUGAGAGGAUGCCGUCCCAGAACCGAUCGUGAAUUUCUUGUGCUGUUUUGAUAAGAACUGUGAUUACUAUGAAUGAACCCAAUUUAUGUAUGUUUUUGAGAAAACGAUCUAUGAUGGUUGGAGUCUUGUCAAUUUGGCAGGUUCAAACUAUUUCGUGGCCAUGAAUGAUCCCUUUUUGAUGGCCAUGAGUUUGUAUGAUGGGACUGUGGUGUCCUCUUAUUUGUGCCGUGGGGUUAUAAAUAACAUCACAAUGUCAAUGGCAAAGUUCAAGCUAGUGGUUGUCUCUUUAUCUGCUGUGCUUGGUCACCACAGAUUCCUGUCAGAUUAGUAAAUGGUUUAAAUAUGUCCUUGAUGAACCAGAGUAUAGUUUUGGUCGACGGAAUCAGUUGUUCAAAUUGUUUGUAUGGUUGAAGCACCCACUGUAUCCUUGUUCCAAGGGUGAUAAAGAAUUUAAGUGUUGAAGCUAUUAGACUCUUUAAUCCUCAAUAAUGGUUCUUUGGUACAUUUUGAAUGAAAUAAUACUUAUUUAUAACACCACUUAGCAAGAAGAAGCCAACAUUAAGAAAAAAAUAAUGUUUACUUUUGUAAUGUUUUUCCACCAGCCUCUUUUCUUGAAGUAUCUUUCUGUUAUUAAUUUUUUUUCUUGCAUUUUGUUUAUGCCUAAAAUUCUUAGUAAAGAAUUUGACAUGGUUCAAAAUAAGGAAAGAGAUCUCUUCAUUUUUGUUUACUUUGAAAGUAUUUCAUGAUUUGUUGUCUAAUUAUUGUCUAAAUUCUAUUUUACAGUGACAUAUACUGAUAUACAUGGAUGAAAAUACUACAACUGAUGAGACAGUGAUCCUAGGAGAUGAAAGCACUAAUUCAAAUAUUGCGCGUCAAACACAUUCUGUUCAGACGACGGUAAAAAAAGAAAGAAAAGGUCUCGUGCAUGGAAUCAUUUUGGAUCAUUUGUUGAUGAAGAAGGAAAUAAGAAAUCAAGGUGUAAGCAUUGUGGUCAAGAUUAUUUUGCUGAUUCAAAUAAAAAUGGUACCACGACAAUGCUUACUCAUUUGUUAACAUGUUCAAAGAUGCCUCGAAAUCAAACUGUUGACAAAAAUCAAACCGAAAUAGGCUUUCAAUCUGUUCAGGGGGUGUUGCGGGUGAUGUUGCUGUUGUUUCGUGGAAAUUUGAGCAAGAACAAUGUAGGAGAGCUUUAUGUCGCAUGGUUAUUGUGGAUGAACUCCCCUUCAAGUUUGUUUAGAAAGAAGGUUUUAGAAACUUUAUGAAAGUAGCGCAACCUCAUUUUAAGAUUCCUUCUCGUAACACUGUGACACGUGACUAUUUUAAACUGUUUGAUGAAGAGAAACAAAAGUUGAAGAGGUCUUUUAGAGACGCCCAACAAAGAGUCUGUCUUACCACUGAUACUUGGAUCUCUUUGCAGCGAAUUAAUUAUAAAUGCAUCACUGCACAUUGGAUCGACAGUAAAUGGAUUAUGCACAAGAGGAUAAUUAACUUUUGUCCAAUUACUAGUCACAGAGGUGAAGACAUGGCUAAUGAGAUUAGUAAGUGUUUACAUGAUUGGGGCAUCAAUAAAAUUUUUACCAUCACAGUUGAUAAUGCUAGUUCGAACGACGUGACUGUGAAAGAGUUAGCUAAGAUAUUCACUAAACGGGGAACCAAUUUCAUGAAUAGAGAACACUUUCAUGUAAGGUGUAUGGCUCACAUUAUUAAUCUCAUUGUCCAAGAUAGUUUGAAAGUGAUUGGAGUGUCCAUUGAAAAGGUUAGAAAAGCAGUGAAAUACAUAAGGCAGUCCCCUGCAAGGUGUAAGAGGUUCCAAGAAUGUUGUGAAGAUGUUGAUAUCAAUAGUAAAAAAUCGUUAUGUUUGGAUGUUUCUAUGAGGUGGAACUCCACAUAUUUGAUAUUGAAUAGGGCAGUUGAGUGUGAAAAUGGGUUGAUGAGUUAUGUUUAUUGUGACAUUGGCUUAUCACAUUACCUUCAGUUUGUUAAAGAUGAAGAGAGAACUGUUGUCGGUGCAUUUUCUAGUGAUGACUGGGACUAUGUGAAGAAAAUUGCCAAUUUUCUUCAAAUUUUUUAUGAUCUAAUGAAAGAAGUAUCUAGAUCACUUCACAUCAAAUUUACACUUUCUUAAAAUUUGUGAGGUUUCUUAUUAUUUGAAGCAGUUGAUAUCGAGUGACGAUGAUGGUGAUGAUCUUUUGGGUAAAAUUACAUCGAAUAUGAAAGAAAAGUUUGAUAAGUAUUGGGGUAGUCCAAAGAAAAUGAAUAAGAUGAUUUUUAUUUCAUGUGUUCUGAAUCCUCGGCACAAGUUUGUUUUAGUUGGUUUUGCUCUUCAAAUGAUGUUUGGGAAAGAAGAAGGACUAAUUUUAGAGAGCGAGGUGAAAGACUACAUGAAUUUGAUGUAUGGUGAGUAUGUAAAGGACUUUUCAAAAGAUAAAGAUAGUCAACAUUAUUCAUCUUCUUCUAGCUCUUUAUUUGAAAAUUCUAGUUCACUGCCUUCGAUUUCAGGUAGUACUAUUCAAUCGAUAGGGUUUUUAGGGUCAUUCAUGGAUGAUCUAAUGAAACAUAAAGCUAGAAAUAUAACAACGGUUAAAACAGAAUUGCAAAAGUAUCUUAAUGAAGCAAAUGAAGGUGAAACCAAGAACUUCAACGUCUUGUCUUGGUGGAAAAUACAUUCAUCCAGAUUUCCUAUUUUUGCUGAGAUGGCUCGGAAUGUGUUAUCUAUUCCCAUUUCAAGCGUGGCAUCCAAGUGUGCAUUUAGUACCGGUGGACGUAUCUUUGAUUCAUUUAGGAGUUCAUUAACUCCUAAAUUGGUACAAAUUCUAGUGUGCCUUCAAGAUUGGAUUCGGAGUGAAUCACAACCUGUUAGUAUUGAGGAAGAUAUAGAUGUUCUCGAAAAGCUUGAACAAGGUAAAAAUAUUCUAAUUGUAUUAGUUUUAUAUUAUUAUUGUAAACGGUUGUUAACAUUUUUUUGACUGAUUAAUAUAAAUUCUUUGUAGAAUUGGCUAAUACUAGCAUUCUUGAUGAUUGACAUGGAGUUGAAAUUCUUCUUUUUUGCACUUGAAUUUGGGCAUCUGGUAAGCCACCUAUCCUAGCUUUAAUUUAUUUUAAAUCAUGUAUUUUCUUUGUAUCUGCAAGAACUGUAACAUCUAGAAUUGAGAAUGAACUUGCAUAUGUGCUCUGUAAGAAUCUUACACAACAAAAGAGAUGAACACUAGAUCAGCUCUGAAAUCACAGAAACACUUUCACCAUCGACGUGAUGCAAGGGACUUGAUGAGAGGCCCAAAUGCCUGAUCCAUAGCUUUUUUCCGUAGGUGUGCAAACUCUAUGCCAGACUCCUCUUUUGGAACAUACACUGUUUUCUGAAUUUUUUCAAAUGGACGAAUUCAUUAGCAAAUACACAACAUUGAUUUAAUUUGAUUUAUCACAAACAAAUAAGUCUUGCAUUGAAACUUCAAAUGUUCAUAAACGGGGUAACAUAUGUAUCACAAUUGAGGUCAUCAUAAAUCAGUGAAAAGGGCUAUAUAGAUAUAUGCUCUAAUUAAAAUAUUUUUAUCAAGUAAAACAUGUGUUUCUAACAAUAUAUCUUGUCCAUCAUCGGCUUCACAAUUAAGGGGAAAAACAACACUGAAAAAUAUUACUAAGAAUUACUGUCAUAAUGAAAGUCAAUAUACCAUCAAACAUACAGCUAUAGAUUCCAAUGAGAUGAGGAUAAUAAACCAGUAGCUUCCAGGUUUUAAUUUUAUUUGGGUGGCUGGUUGGAGACACAUGUUGAAGCUAUUGCGUUGAUUAGUAACAUCACAAAGAUAAAGCACCAAUGUGCAUCAAUCCAGAGGCAAAGAACAAAUAUUAUAGCUUUAAUCUGUGCAUCAAUCUCAAGCUUUGAUUGUUGCUAUGUUUUUAUCUUUUUGAUUCCUCGUUAAGAUAUUUUACUUUGAAUUGUUAUGUGAAUUGUUGUAGGUGUCUGAGUUUUGGUAAGAUGUGAAUAUUUUCAAAAGCUUGAAGCGUUUGAAGAGUUUUGGACUUUUGGGAAGAUCUGGAUAUAUUGAAAAGAUUGAAGAAAUAGGAUUCGUUUUUUUUUUUUUCAACUAACAUUAAGUUUGAAGAUUUUUGUAAACUAAAACUCUUUAUGUAUUUUUUUUUUGGUUGUUACUAUUUCUAUUUUAUAAGUAUUUUUCUUAUUGGUUAAACCGAAAACCAAACCGUUAAGAAUCAAUAACCGAUAAACCGAUAACAAAUAUCUUAUUGGUUGGUUAUUGGGUUUGCAUAUUUAAAAACCGAAAAUCGAUAAACCAAACCGAUAACACACAAAACCGAACCGAACCGAUCGAUGCCCACCCCUAAUCUCCACCGAACCAAUGAGGAUCUGUCCUUAUAAACUCUACAUACCUAGUUUGUUCUUUCAUGGACAUAAGGGUAGGUCACUAAAUGUGGAGCAAUCCUUGGUAAUAUCUCAUCAACUCUAGGAGAAUUAAUAUUAGUUGUUGGUAUUUAUCGUGAAUUUCUUACCAUAUUGGAUUUUCUUUAGGUACCAUAAUUGAGUUUCCAUUUAGGAAAAGGAAAUCCUAAAUUCUUUAUAUUUGUCCAAUCCUUAUUCUUGUAGGAAAAAUGCUAUCGAUUUAAUAAAUAGAGGCUCCUUUCUUUUAGUUUAGCAUCAUCCACAAUGUAGUCCUAGGGGUUUGAGAGUGUUGUUUGGGGGGGAGACUUUGUAAGACAGAAGUGUUGCAGUAUCACUUGUGUGAACCUCUUUUUAUUCUGAGUGAGUUGUGUGAGGUUGCCUUUCUUGACAGUUUGUAUUCUCUUUUAUAUAGUGGAUUGCUCAUCUCCUUUUGUAAAUGUAGGUCGAUUGAUCGAACCACAUUAAGUUCUUUUAUCUCUUUUGGUGUAUUUCUCAUUUAUCUGCUUAUUCAUGGUCUUUUGAGAUUUUCUUUGCUAUCUUCCGUAUGAUACCUGAUUAUUUUGGUCCUACCAAGUGGUAUCAUAUAGCAAGGUUAAAAUUGGGUGUUCAUCUUGGCAGAUUCAGUUCUAACCGCAACUUAUUAGACGAUAAUAAAGAUUUUGGUUUGAGAAAUUUUAUCAGAACACUCUGUGUAGAGACAAAAUUAAAUGGAUGAGAUUUUUCAGAUGGAGACUGAACUUGAUGAAGACUACGUGAAGAAAGUGGAACAAAUUUAUUUUGUUAGAAAUUCAGGCCAAAGGAGAGAAUUGUUGGUAUUUGUCCUGACUUUCUUACCAUAAUUGAUUCCUUUAGGUACCAUAAUUGAGUUUCCCUUUCGAAAAAGAAAAACCUAAAUUCUCCAUAUUUGGCUAAUCUUUAUUCUUGUAGGAAAAGAUUAUAGACUCUAUAAAUAGAGGCUCCUUUCUUCUAGUUUAGCAGUAUCCACAAUGUAGUUCUAGGGGUUUAAAAGUGUUAUUUGGGGAGAACACUUUGUAAGACACAAGUGUUGCGGUAUCACUUGUGUGAACCUCUUUUUAUUCCGAGUGAAUUAUAUGGGGUUGUCUCUCUUGACAGUUUGUACUCUCUUUUAUUUAGUGGAUUACUCAUCUCCUUUUGUAGAUGUAGGUUAAUUGAUCGAACCACGUUAAAUUUUUGUGUCUCUUUUGGUGUAUUUCUUGUUUAUCUUUUUAUUCAUGGUCUUUCAAGGUUUGUUUUGCUAGCUUCUGCAUGACACUUGAUUAUUUUGGUCAUAAAAGUAGCCACAUAUGUAUCUGCUGUCUGAAGCCCCGAAGUAGAAUGCUAAAUCAAAAUAGAAGUCACCUUCUGAAGGAAGCCCAACACUCGAACCAAGUAAUCAUCAACCAUAGGUAUAGUCACAAAUGGUGUUUACACUGACCUCAACCCCUCUAACUCAAUAGAACCAUCAUUAUCAACUCUAGAACCUAAGGAGGCAAUCCAAACUAGACCUUCAGAUGAUCCGAAUACUCCAAUCCAAUCUCUGCCUUGACCUCUGCCCCUGUCGUGCACCAAAGGUAUGGGCUCUGAAUUUCUAGCUAAUAAAGAAUGCAUUCUCACCAUGUUUGAGAGAGUGAAUAAGAGAUUUUGAGUUAUACAAAGUUAUGAGCACAUGAAAUAGAAUGAAAAUGGAUUUCUCCUAAAGUCAUAUAGUUUCUCAAAGAUAGAUAAUGGACGUCUCCGCACUGAUCUACAAGACUCUACUAGACUCAACUUGUAUUAAUGAGACCAAUGAAACUGAUACUUAUACCAAUUUACCACGACCCAAAAUAGAUAAACGAUGACACUUAUCAUACCCUCUGGACAAGUAAAUCUAUCCCAACCCAAACUCAAUAAUCAGAUAUAACGUAAGCAAAAGAAAAUAAGAAAGAUAAAUCCAUAAUAAUUAAGGAUGAAUUACCAACUCAAUGCCACAUCUUUUUUUAAUAACCCCCAUAGCUAUGCAGUUGUGGAGGCAGUUUGCUACUUGUGCAGGUAUACAAAUAGAAGGAAGGCAACUUCAACAAAUAAUUCACGAGUGGUGGAAUAAAGAAGUAAACUCUAAAUUGCAACAGUGUACAGAGCUAUACCAGCAUUUGUGAUUUGGGAGUUAUGGAAAAGAAGAAAUAAAAGAAAACAUGGUGGCGAUGUUACUCUAAUCAUGAUGGUGCAACACAUUCAAACCCACAUACAUCAGAUGCUGAGGAUCAUAUACCCAUGGCUGAAUAUACAGUCUUUGGAUUGGCAAGAAUUAUUUAACUUUUUGGGGACAUAUAAGGCAAGACUGCAUCACAAUAUGGUAAGGUGAGGAUUACCAUCUUCUGGGAAUAUCAAGUAUAACACAGACGGAGCAAGUAAAGGAAAUCCUGGAGUAAGUGUAUAUGAUUUUUGUUUGAGAGACCAUAAAGGGGAUCUGAUUUUUGCUAAGGCUGAGAAUAGUGGAAUUUGUACAAACAUUGUUGCAGAAGACAAUGCAAUUCUACAAGCUUUAAGGUACUGUUCUAGCAAUUUUCUAUCAGGAGUAAUUAUAGAAUCAGAUUCUUUGAUAUUGAUAAAAGUAAUAAAGGAAGUCUGGCAAGUACCCUGGGAAAUAGUGGAAAUUGUUGAAUAAAUAAAAAAAGGAAGGCUAGGGAUUAUUUUUCAACACAUCUUUUGGGAAGGAAAUUGUAAUGAACCAAUGUCCCACAUUGGAAAAAAAGAGAAAUGCUAAGGGUUUUAUAUGCUAAAUGGGUUUUCCACCUAUUAGAUUAAUUUUUUGGGUUGGGCUCUCCCGUUUGGUUUAUAACAAAAAUCAAUUUGCAGAUUACUUGGCUAAUAUAGCCAUACAUAUAAAGGGGUUAUUGGAGUUUAAUGCUUUUACAAACAUACCACCUGAAGGGAGAAGGAUUUUAAACAUAGAUAAAUUUCAGAUACCAGAAAUCAGAACAAGUACAAGAAAAAUUAAACCACAAGCAUGAGAUUAAUGAGCACAUAGAGUUGGUGCAGUAAGUAAUAUAACAAGUCCAUGUACUGAUGCAACUAGAAAAAGUAAUAAAAGAUGGAUUUCAAAUAUAUCGCAAAAAUGGAAAAGGAAAGGAGGAAUAUUGUUCUCACAGAUGGGAGAAUUGCUAUUUCCGGAAUGCUGCCUCCUCCAUUUCACUGGAGAUAGUUAAUCCUCAAACAUUUAUCAAGAUUAAGAGGAUCAAAAACAUGAAAAUGCAGUGAUUCUCUUUGUGUGAGAAGGAUGACCACAACAAUAAUCAAAUCAAGCUUGUUGAUAACCCACAAGGAAAGAAAAAGAAAUCUGUUUUACAGUUGGGAUUAAACGGAUUACAAUCUGGGAACUGAGAUGAAGAUGAGAUGGUGAAUGGUUUGCUUUUGGAAAGUGUACUGCAGAAGCCAAAUUCAUUUUCUACAAUUUGUACUUCUUUUCUUUUGUUGUUUUUUUCUUUUGUUUAUUGGGCCUAUGGCCAGAAUAAUUUUGUUUUUGCUUUAUUAAUUUUAAUAAAAGGCUGAACAGCC
rnacentral:lncRNA from 1 species